UGCCUACGGGGGGCAGCAGUGAGGAAUAUUGCGCAAUGGCCGAAAGGCUGACGCAGCGACGCCGCGUGAGGGAUGAAGUCCGUUAGGAUGUAAACCUCUUUUGUAGGGGAUGAAUGUUCCCGUUCACCGGGAAUUGACCGUACCCUGCGAAUAAGGAUCGGCCAACUACGUGCCAGCAGCCGCGGUAAUACGUAGGAUCCGAGCGUUGUCCGGAAUUACUGGGUGUAAAGGGCGUGUAGGUGGAUUCCUAAGUCGGUGGUGAAAUCCUGCAGCUUAACUGCAGAAUUGCCUUCGAAACUGGGGAUCUUGAGUGCGGCAGAGGGAGAUGGAAUUCAUGGUGUAGCGGUGAAAUGUGUAGAUAUCAUGAAGAACACCGGUAGCGAAGGCGGUCUCCUGGUCCGCAACUGACACUGAUGCGCGAAAGCGUGGGGAGCAAACAGGAUUAGAUACCCUUGUAGUC
rnacentral:rRNA from 1 species